UUAAGUUCAGCGGGUAUCCUCGUCUGAUCUGAGGUCAAAAUUGGUGUGGGUUUCCCCAUAUUUUGUAUUGCGGGAGUUUAGAUCUUCCUUGAACGAUAAAUAUUUCUACUAAUCGAUAGGUGUUACUAAACUUACCCCGCUGUCAGUGUUUAAACGGAAUUAGGAGGUUAACCCCUUAAACCGCCAACGCCGGCGAGACA
rnacentral:misc_RNA from 1 species